CCUGUAUAGCAAGAAACAUAACUCCAUCUUGAUUUUUGCAAGAUUUAUGGCCCCUUUUGUACUUAGAAAAUAUCAGAUUUCUUGGUUAAGUUUUAUGUUUAGGUCAACUUUUCUCCUAAACUAUCAAAGCUAUUGCUUUGAAACUUGGAAUACUUGUUCACCAUCAUAAGCUGACCCUGUACAGCAAGCAACAUAACUCCAUCCUGCUUUUUGCAAUAAUUAUUGCCCCUUUUGGACUUAGAAAAUCAGUUUUCUUGGUUAAGUUUUAUGUUUAGGUCAACUUUUUCUCUUAAACUAUCAAAGCUAUUGCUUUGAAACUUGCAACACUUGUUCACCAUCAUAAGCUGACCCUGUACAGCAAGCAACAUAACUCCAUCCUGCUUUUUGCAAUAAUUAUUGCCCCUUUUGGACUUAGAAAAUCAUUUUCUUGCUUGAGUAUUAUGUUUAAGUCCACUUUU